CCUACGGGAGGCAGCAGUGGGGAAUAUUGCGCAAUGGGCGAAAGCCUGACGCAGCGACGCCGCGUGAGGGAUGAAGGUCUUCGGAUCGUAAACCUCUGUCAGCAGGGAAGAACGGUCACUGUGCUAAUCAGCAGUGAAUUGACGGUACCUGCAAAGGAAGCACCGGCUAACUCCGUGCCAGCAGCCGCGGUAAUACGGAGGGUGCGAGCGUUAAUCGGAAUUACUGGGCGUAAAGCGCUCGUAGGCGGUAUGUCAAGUCAAGGGGGAAAUCCCCGGGGUCAACGUGGGAAGUGCCUUUGAAACGGGCAAACUGGAGUGUGUGAGAGGAUAGUGGAAUUCCAGGUGUAGGAGUGAAAUCCGUAGAUAUCUGGAGGAACAUCAGUGGCGAAGGCGACUAUCUGGCACAUAACUGACGCUGAGGAGCGAAAGCGUGGGUAGCAAACAGGAUUAGAUACCCUGGUAGUC
rnacentral:rRNA from 1 species